GACGAAGGGAGCAAGCGUUGCUCGGAAUAAUUGGGCGUAAAGGGUGCGUAGGCGGUUUUUUUAAGUCAGAUGUUAAAGACUAGGACUCAAUCUUGGGAAUGCAUUUGAUACUGAAAAACUUGAGUGUGGGAGAGGAAACAGGAAUUCCUCAUGUAGAGGUGAAAUUCGUAGAUAUGAGGAGGAACACCAGAGGCGAAGGCGAGUUUCUGGAACACUACUGACGCUGAGGCACGAAAGCGUGGGGAGCAAACAGG
rnacentral:rRNA from 1 species